rnacentral:rRNA from 1 species
AUUGAACGCUGGCGGCAGGCCUAACACAUGCAAGUCGAGCGGAAGAAGGGAGCUUGCUCCUGGAUUCAGCGGCGGACGGGUGAGUAAUGCCUAGGAAUCUGCCUGGUAGUGGGGGAUAACGUCCGGAAACGGGCGCUAAUACCGCAUACGUCCUGAGGGAGAAAGUGGGGGAUCCUCGGACCUCACGCUAUCAGAUGAGCCUAGGUCGGAUUAGCUAGUUGGUGGGGUAAAGGCCUACCAAGGCGACGAUCCGUAACUGGUCUGAGAGGAUGAUCAGUCACACUGGAACUGAGACACGGUCCAGACUCCUACGGGAGGCAGCAGUGGGGAAUUUUGGACAAUGGGCGAAAGCCUGAUCCAGCCAUGCCGCGUGUGUGAAGAAGGUCUUCGGAUUGUAAAGCACUUUAAGUUGGGAGGAAGGGCAGUAAGUUAAUACCUUGCUGUUUUGACGUUACCAACAGAAUAAGCACCGGCUAACUUCGUG